rnacentral:rRNA from 1 species
GACGAACGCUGGCGGCGUGCUUAACGCAUGCAAGUCGAACGGAAAGGCCCUGCUUGCCGGGUACUCGAGUGGCGAACGGGUGAGUAACACGUGGGUGAUCUGCCCUGCACUUCGGGAUAAGCUUGGGAAACUGGGUCUAAUACCGGAUAGGACCGCACUUUAGUGUGUGUGGUGGAAAGUUUUUUCGGUGUAGGAUGAGCUCGCGGCCUAUCAGCUUGUUGGUGGGGUAAUGGCCUACCAAGGCGGCGACGGGUAGCCGGCCUGAGAGGGUGUACGGCCAAAUUGGGACUGGGAUACGGCCCCGACCCCUACGGGGGGCAGCAGUGGGGAAUAUUGCAAAAUGGGCGCAAGCCUGAUGCAGCGACGCCGCGUGGGGGAUGAAGGCCUUCGGGUUGUAAACUCCUUUCGCUAGGGACGAAGCUUUUUGGGACGGUACCUAGAUAAGAAGCCCCGGCUAACUACGU